rnacentral:rRNA from 1 species
UACGUAGGGUGCAGGCGUUAAUCGGAAUUACUGGGCGUAAAGCGCACGUAGGCGGCUUUGUAAGUUAGAGGUGAAAGCCCGGGGCUCAACCCCGGAAUAGCCUUUAAGACUGCAUCGCUUGAACACGGGAGAGGUGAGUGGAAUUCCGAGUGUAGAGGUGAAAUUCGUAGAUAUUCGGAAGAACACCAGUGGCGAAGGCGGCUCACUGGACCGUUGUUGACGCUGAGGUGCGAAAGCGUGGGGAGCAAACAGG